rnacentral:lncRNA from 1 species
AUGCAGGACCUGCUUCCCAUUUUUGUUCUGAUUGCAUCGGAGCUGCUGGAUCUCUCUGGUGCCCCCAGAGCCGAGCACCAUGUUGGUGGAGCCUCAGACCUGAGCUUUCCUGGAGAACCCCAACCAAUACCUGGGACCAGUCCACUGUCAGUCACAGAGGAUGACUUGGGUGAGGCAACCAAUUAUGUUCAGACUCCGGCAGCCGAUCCUACAAAUAAAAUGACAGCAGACUUCAUUCCCAGCCACACAGAGGUGGCUGCAAGAGCAACAGGCACGCUGCCAGCGGAGCCAGUGAGGGAUGUGGAAGGGUCUGAGCGAGGGCACACAGCAGCUGCUGUAAAGCUCCAGGACAGACAGCCAUUUCCUAACGAGCUCUUGAGCAGCACAAGCAGCCCCAUUUCCACACGAGGGCCACAGGCUGCCACCCACCCACAUCCCUUAGGAAAGGCUGCCACUAUUACCAGCCCAGCCAGCUCUGAUGCUGGCACCCCUCAGCCCAUUCCCAGUGCAGGGGUGCAGCAAGGUGUUUCUGCCUUGUCCACCCCAGGCAUCCAGCAGAGGGAGGCACCAAGUCUUGAAACAUCUCCUCUGACUUCAACAAUACCUUUCCAUCCUCCCAGAAAAGAAACAGCAUCUCCGUUUCCCACCAGAGAGAAGAUGGUGACCAAUCCACCAUCAGCACCUCCCACCAGCAAAAGGCCGAGAGAUGCGAGCCCCCAGGCACAGCCCCACAGCAGAGCUGCACAGCCUCGGGGUGUGGCUGCUAAGGUCACCACUUCUGCAUUCCUACCAAAACCAGCUUCAGGGGACCCUACCGCAGUUCCUUCCAGAACAACACAGACAACUGCUGGUUACUUCUCCCCUGUGAAGCGAGAGAUGGCAGGCAGCGAGGGCAGGAGCUCAACAGCAGCCAUAGUAAGUGGAUCUGGACACACAGCCCAGCUGCCUGCACUGCAGGACAUUCUGCAAGGCCACGCACACUCCUCUUCCCCACUGAUGCCUCUGGAAGCCCUGGAUCAUGAUUUACCCCACUCUCCAUCUCAAGAGCCCACUAAUGCUGCUGACGGACCGCAGCCUCUCCCUUUGCCUCGGACUCACAGCUGUACCAAACACCACUCCUCCCAGGAAGACCACAGGAGCUCUCAAGGAAGCACAGCCCUGGUUUUGCAAAAAGAUGCUGAUCACCAGAUGACAAGUAAACCCGAAAAAUCCAGAUUCCCUGAGAAGCCACAGGUUUCUGCUAGUGCAUCUUCAGUAAGCCAGUCACAGAUGUCCACCUUAAACAUUUCCCAAACUACUACAGGGACAAAAGGAGCUACAUCUGCAUUCUCCCUGGGCACUCCCACCCUGCAGCACGCAGCCCUUCGAGCUGUGAGCACUCCUGUUGUUCCUGCAGCACUUCAGCCAGCGGGUGUAUCUGCUCCUCCUGCUGGACCCCAGUUAGCAGGCAUCCUCACUUCUGCUGGGCAAGGACUUCACAUACCAACUUCACCCACUUCAGCUCAUUCCAGGUCUCUGCACCCACCUUUUGCUCAGGAAAGCCUGCCCAGCACAACUGCACAUCCCAAUGUGGUAGAGGCUGCUGUUUCUGAUGGGAUCCCAGCACACCUGGCACAGCUGCUGGUGCAGCAGUUGGAUACAUCACACCACACACCUACCAAAAACCUCAGUGCUAUCGGAACCGAUCACCUUAGCAUGUUACCAUCAUUCCCAUAUUUGUCCUUCCUGCUUAGAAAUACCGACAGCAUGCUAUGCCUGCUUCCCACACAGGAUUCCCCUUUGCCUGUGCAAUUCCCAAAUAUCAGCACUGGGACUCUGGUUUCUGCUCAGCAAAUCCUCACGGUGUCAAAUUCUUCGUUAUUAGAUCUAGGGGACUUACCAAACAUGAGUCUUUCCAGCUUAAUCCUGGUUAAGCCCAUAUUUAUCCUCUUUCCCACCGACAGACCAGGCUUACAGGGGAGGCCCUCUCCUGAGGGUGAAGGCAAACACAAAACCCUGUUGUUCAGCAACCAGCAAGGUGUGAAUGCAAUUACUGCUCAGCACAGCCAUGACAUCCCGCUGGUGUCCACACGCAUCCCCCGUACUGCCCCCAAAGCACCUCUCACAGCUGGGAAGUUGUUUUCUUUAUCACUGCCAGCGGUAGAACUGCCCGAUCCCCCACUCCCAGCCCAGCCUCCGUUUGCAAUCACAGAGGCAGUGGAUCCGGCUCAGCCCAGCAAGGAGGCAGCACUGCAAGGCACCGGCCUGGGCUCAGCCCCCGCACCGUCCUCUGCCCGUGCACAGUGCGCUGAGUGUCUGCGCUCAGCCAGGACCACGAAUUACCCACUGAGGGUGUCCACAAGCACUGUGCCUCUGCAGUCCACACCGCAAAGCUCCGAGCCGCUCCAAAGGCUGCCAUCACCAGCUGGGAUUGCGCCCAGCACCGUACCGGCAUCCCCAGCGCCUCCCACUGGCAGCGACAGGAGAGGUUCAGCUGCGGGCAGCGCCGCCUGUCCGGGAGUGGCUCUGCAUCCCAGGGCAGCACCAACCUCACCCUCAUCUCUGAGCCCCGGCCUUGCCAAGCGCCUGGAGCUCACACCCACCGUGCCCAAACCCUCUGCAGUGAUGGAGACCCCAACACCAGUGCUGUCACCAUUAUCAGCAAAGGUUCACGUGAAAACAACAACGUCUGGGAAGCUGCUGGCUGCAGUUACCCGUCCGAGAAUGUACGCCGGGUCCCCUGCAAGCCCGCCUUCCUCUGUGGCCAUGCGCAUUCUGCCAUCAGCCACAAAACACGACCGGAGCACCCGAGCACAGGGCAAUGUGGGAGAAGAUGCAAAGCCAGCUGAAGUCAGCACGAGUGCAAGGAAAACAGGACUCGCAGGAAGCAGCACUCCUCUGCCAGCUGUGUUUGGGCCGGAGCAGCACCCCGCAGCAGUGCAGGACAGCGAGGCUGCUUUAGCCCCAGUGCAGUCUGAGUCUGCAGAAGCUGUGAUUGAGACACACAGCUCUGCUGGGCAGCACCCUGGACCGCCUACGACAGGAUCGGCUGUGGGGCUGCCCCUGAGCACUGAGGAAGAAGAGGAGGCCGGACCCCGCGAGGUGACAGAAGAAGCAGCCGAAGGCUCAGUGACCGAGCUCACACCGCUGGGGUCACAGCCGGCAGAGCCCCGCCGCCGCAGCGCCGUGCAGCCGGAGGGCGCCGUGCUGAGCGGGUAAUUGGGGCAGGAGCUGCCGCUCAGAGGGCGGAGGGGUCAACAUCUCCAGUGCUCCGUGUGCUCAGCAGCACGGGCGUGAUGUAUUGCUUGGUUUGAGAGCGCUCAGUUCGUUCUGCAGUGACCUCAUAAAUGUAUUUAAAAAAAAAUGUAAUCUUUCUACAUCUCAGAUGUUAGCGCUGUCCUUCCAGCUUUCUUUUGCACAGCAGCCUUUGACUCUCUGCCUCUUCUCCUAAACAGCUCUACGUGCAUCUCUGUGAUGUGGGAGCAUCUGACAGCACAAUGAGACACACUAGCUAAAUGUGGACCUUCCCCACAUGGCUGUGCAGAGGCAGGAGGUGGUUCCGGUCACACCAGCGUCUACUUGCUCUUCAUUUCAUUCAACUUGCUUGCAAACAUCUUGCAGAGCUGUUUGGUUUCACCAAGGAAACCGACCCUAGCACUGAGCAGCUCCAUAGCAGAGUUGGGCUCAGCUGGUUUCUUCUUUCCCCUGCAGCGUUGCAGUUGUCAGCGAUGAGCUCUGUGGCUCUGGGAACUACACGGUGCGGAUGACCCUGCGCCCUGUGGCAGACACCAGCCUGGGGCUGCAGGGCUCACCCCCCACCCAGGACUCCUUCCUGGCUCUCGUAGCUGUGCAGAGCAGCCCCCAGCCCGUGCUGCAGCUCCGUUCCUGCUGUGUGACACCGUCCAGCAGCCUGCAGGGCCCCAGCGCCGUGUGCUGCUCGCUGCCCAG